UCUGCCCUGCUCCCUACACUGGCUCUCCCUGUUCUUCAGAAAUUCUCCUUAUUUGCUGGAUGUCAUUGUCAUAUAUAACUUACUAAAACUUCAGUCAGGGAUGUAAAUUUCACUUCCAAAGGCAGCUAUAUCAGUCCUUUGUGGUUCUGUCCUUCCUUGCAACAGAUUUACAGGAGCAAAUAGGAGUGAAAAUUACUGGUCUGGGACAUGUGGAGGGUUGAACAGAAGGCUUAAUUACUGCUUCUUCUCUCACUAGGGCUACUAUUCAUCUGGCUUUCCAAGACAUGUCCUCUGUUUUUUUUGCCAGAAAUUUUGACCAGGAUGAAAAGGAAGAAUUUGGUCACUUGUGAAAAAUUUCUAGGUAUCUGGCAUCGGGGCCAGGCCCCUGACAGGAGGAUGCCCCGGGUGACUGGUGACUCCAGGCAUGGCCUGAGCACAGAGCGCCCAGUGAACCCAACACAGCUGUCCACAGUCAAGUCUCCACCGACCAAAACAUCCUGGACAUACCAGGCUAAAUGCAUGCAUGCUGCAUAACCUAUAAACUGAUAUUUCUGUGUGGGAAUUCCUAAACAGAAAUAUAGGCUUAAUAAUAGUAUGUCUUAAAUAGUGGUAAUUUUAAUGAAUACAGUGACCACAACACAAGAAUCUGGGUAGUCACGUAUCUGAUACAGUAUACUGCAACCAGCAAAGGAAACAUGAUCAAAUAGAGCUUUAGACAGGAGAUUUUAAACCCUUUCUGUGGCUAGAGCCAAAUUCCAUUAGUAAUUUUAGUUCAUGGGCCAAGGUUUAUAUUUAGGACUUUAUACACGCCUCAGGCAAUAGUUACAUUGCCUGCGGCAUCAAAGCAUUCAGCUCUAGGACAGAGCAUUGCCCCAAGUGUUUAAAAUAUCAUGAACUAGUCCUUAGAAUAUCAUUAGGUAAGCUAAAAAGACAUAAUAUUCCUGUGUUUAUCUUUUAAACAACACAUCUGGGCUCUUUUUGUUGUUUGGUAGCCUGUUAUAGAAGGUGGCCUAGUGCUGUUUUAAAGCUUUUCUGUCCUUCAACGUUGAAGUUGUUUAUUUAUUGAAGACUUUUUCCCCCCACUGGAUGCUAAAGGAAAUACAACAUUAUGAGAAAGCAUCUUUAACGCUUUCAAGUCAUCUGUGAACUGAAUGGAGGCAGGAGGGGCAAGACUUUGGUUUAAAUGGAAUAUAAGGCCAGAUAGACUUGGAAAGGGAGCUGUAUACCCCAUGUUAUGCUUAUGGCACAGUUAGGAAUUGAACACAAGUCUUUUGACUCCCAUGUUUUGCAGCCAGACCAUUGAAUACUACUUUUAUGGAGUUGAGUAUGUGCUGGUGGGAGCAGGAAAUGUAAGUGGUCCAGGACUGGUGGUUGUGUGAAAAGAGGCAAAGGCAGCAGCCCCAGAUGGAAGAAGAAAUUGGUAGGAAAAAACUAGUCCCUUUUUCCCUGCUUGGACUUUGACUGAACCCUUGCAACACUGGGGUUUAAUUUUCUCUGCUAUUUGGGUGUGCCUCAUGGGGUGUUCCACCGCAACCGAAUUCCAUGGCAUGUCCACCCCGUGGACGACGUUGGCUAGAAGUAAUUAAAUGCCCUGGCAUUGAAUCAGGCAUGCUCUGGGGUAGGGACUCCUAUUGGUUUGGGGACAAUGUUUGAAAGCAGAGGUAUCAUUUGGUCUCUGUUUCUCAUAAAAUCUGACACAAGCAGCUGCAGCAGACUGAUGAGCUCUCCAAGGAGCCAGACAUUCAACAGCAGUUACGUCAGCCUUUGCAGCACCAGCGAGACGGACUUUGUAGCUAUAAUGACCUUCAUUCAAAAAUACACUGUCUGUCUCCAAAUGCAUGGAGCAGUCUUCAGAGAAAUCCAUCCCGAUUCUUUACCAGGACAAAUGCUGGAUAAAUCAGAAAGAAGUACAUGGGUAGGCAAAAGGGGCAAUAAACCCUGAGUCUGCUGCACCCUUGGCACUCAGCUGCAUGCCUCUCUGUAUAAUCAAAUAGACCUUCAGGAUCCGUGGACGAAGGACACUGGGUGCCUGUGCAAUGUGGGUGG